rnacentral:rRNA from 1 species
UACGUAGGGGGCGAGCGUUGUCCGAAGUUACUGGGCGUAAAGCGCGCGUAGGCGGUCAUUUAAGUCUGAGGUGAAAGGUUCAGCGCUCAACGUGAACAGUGCCUUGGAUACUGGGUAACUUGAGUUCGGGAGGGGGCAGUGGAAUUCCAGGUGUAGCGGUGAAAUGCGUAGAUAUCUGGAGGAACACCGAUGGCGAAGGCAGCUGCCUGGCCCAGAACUGACGCUGAGGUGCGAAAGCGUGGGGAGCGAACGGG